rnacentral:rRNA from 1 species
AGUCACUGACAUUAGAUACCCGGUAGUCCAGGGUGUAAACGCUGCAGACUUGGUGUUGGAGGCCCUUUGGGGGCAUUCAGUGCCGGAGAGAAGUUGUUGAGUCUGCUACUUGGGAGUACGUCCGCAAGGAUGAAACUUAAAGGAAUAGGCGGGGGAGCACCGCAACGGGAGGAGCGUGCGGUUUAAUUGGAUUCAGCACCGUAAAACUCACCAGGGAAGACUGUUACAUGAAGGCCGAGAUGAAGACUCUGCUAGAUUUUUCAG